UUGCAAUUUUGCUGUUGACCUCGACAAAUGUUUCGUCCAUUAGGUCUGUGACCAGCCGGUCCGGCUCAUUCCUAACCUUUUCCAAAAGUACCUUGUGAAGAUUCUUCUGACAGUAGUCAGAUGCUUGAAUGCCAGCAUGUCCGUCAUAAACGGCAACGAAGCCGUCGUCCUGAUUACCCCCAAAAUCAUACAAGCAAAUAUGAGUAUCCUCCAUAGACCUACGCCAUCUUUGGUUUUUAUCCUCCAUCAGUCCAGCAAGCCAGUUAGAGGCUUUACUAGGGCGCGAGUUACCAACUGGGACUGUGUUGCCUUUACUAUCCUUCAUCUCAAUUGCAAUCGGUCGAGUUUCUCCAUCCGCCGAAUGAUCACUAGCGUUUUUUCGAUGUCCACUUGUAGAAUUUUCAGAAAA